UGUUUAUGAUACAGGUGGAAAUUAAAACUGGUCAAGCGAAGCAAAUUGCUUGGAUUGAUGAAGCAGGUUGUUGUUUCUUUCCGGAGAUCCUUUCCUGUCAUUUAGAAAAAGAAAAGUACUGCCAUUCUGAGUUACAGAGUGAUUCACCUUAUGUGCUGAAAGAAGCCAAAGGGCCCCAAGAGAUCACAUUGAAGCUUGAGAUUGGAAUAACGGGAUUGAGUAGCUCCAAUACAGAGGAAUGUGUUGAGGAGUCGAAUAGUCCUGCUAAGAGGAUAAAAAUUGAACAAAACUCUUUUGGUAGUCGAGAUGAUAGGGAAAAUGACUAUUGCAACCAAAUAUCAGAUGCCCAAAUGCAGGAAAUCAAUAAGGGAACUCGACAGUUCGAUGAAAACAUAUUGCCCGAGUCGCCAGUUCUGGAGCAAACAUUGGACUCUAAUUCAGUACGAGACAUGUUUAAUCAGGGCAUUGGUUCCUCUGUGAGUGCAUGUAUAGUAGAGAUUAAGCACUGCACUAAUGAUUUGAUGCAAGCAAGAGCUGAGCUGUUCCAUAAGCAGGUUGAAAUAACUAAGAAGUACCGCGGGAAUCCAAAUGUCCAAUAUGGUUGGAUGGCUGUUACUAAAGAUGCCCUAUCCAACAUCAUGCUUUAUGGGCUUGGUCAUGGUAGACCCAUGAUUAUGUCCACAUAUGGCAUUGGAGUUCACUUGACAUCUCUUAAUCAAGCCGAUAUCAGGUUUGCACAUAUAUUCUAUCUUUAAAUUCAUUUAUCAUGUUAAGAGAAUCUAGUAUAAGUAAGAUGCAGAUUUCAACUACCAUAGAAUCAUCUAUGGUGUUUAAUUUUGUUCAUUAGAUGUGGAGUAUUAGUACUGUACUUUUGUGCCCUCCCGCCCUAAAAAAGACAAUUUCUUUUUUCUGAGAUCCAGAUUUUGGUGCUGUAGUGAAGUUCUAUUUCUUGCUCUCUGUUUUGAGGAUAUAUUAUAUGUAUAUCUGUGUGUGUGUAAUUUGUAGUUUGCUUUGUCAGAGGUUUUACUACUUGUUAUCUUGACAGUGCAAGUUACUGUGAUGAUGACGAUAAUGGGGUGAGGUACAUAAUGUUAUGCCGUGUUAUCAUGGGAAAUGUCGAAUUGGUCAAUCCUGGAUCUGGACAGUGCCAUCCCAGUUCUAUACAAUAUGAUAGUGGAGUUGAUGACCUUCAAAAUCCACGCCAUCUAAUAGUUUGGAGUAUGAACAUGAACACCCAUAUUUUUCCAGAGUAUGUUGUCAGUUUCAAGACAUCUUCGAAAGCUGAAGGUGGUAUAUCUAUCCUCAUAUACUUGUUCCUUGUUUGAUUUUCUGGAGUGAUUCUUGCACUCACAGAUCUCCAUCUGCACGCCUUUUUUGUUUUUGCUCUUCAAUUGUUCUUAUUUCCAACCGUGCUCCUAGUCUCAGAAUGUUCUAUCACAAGUACCCAUCUAACAUUGCUGCCACGCUCAACUACAUGAAACUGAAUACGGUCAGUUAGAAAUGAAGGUGGGAUGAACACCUGAAAUCAAUAGGUGUUAAUAGCUAUAAUGACAAUCUGGAACUAUGUAGUGGUGCUCACUUGACAGUUGACAGUUGAUGAUCCCCAGCCAGUAAGUAUGAAUUUAGACCUAGGGUCUUUCUUCUAAUCAACCUAGAAUGAGUCUAUAGUUGCUCAGAUUAGGGAGUGGUCAUUGAUUUUUGGGUUAUUCGAACCUCUUUGAUCAAAUCACUGAGAGGAAAAAAAAAGAAAAGAAGGCGGCAUACUAUGGCAGUGUUAAGUUGGUUUCAUGUAAAGUUAAAACAUGUUAGAACACUGAAACUCAAAGAUUGACUGUUGAAAUAAGAAUAAUUGAAAGGUAGUGCAGAUGGAGAUGUGGGAAGUGUGAAAAUCACUCCUUUUAUUUCUGGAGCCAAAUUCAUUUUUGAAAAUAGUAAUUUGAAGAAAUAUGGACUUGAUUGCAUUUUUUUUUCAAUAUCCUAUUCAAGUAGCUUCUGAUAAUGCAGUCAGAAGGUUUGAAGCAGGCUGUGCAAUCUUUUUAUUUGGUCAUGCUAUCUCCAUACUUAUGAAAUAGGCUAUCCUUUCUCUUUGUACAUCUACGUAUGACUUGUCACUUGCUGGUCCAAAUCUCUGGUGGGUUUUUCACUUACUGGGGACCUCUUGGUUCAUGAAAACCUUUCUUUCGAUCAAUUUUGCUUAGAAAAUGCAAGUAUUGGACCACUAGAACUUUUUGUUGCUACUACAGGGACCAUGGUUACAGAAAGCAGAGGUCCUCUGUCUGGAAUUACAACUAGUGAUGAAUGUCGAGGCCAAUUGCAGUUCAACUGCUCCCCAAUGGAAUCAGUAAGUCCUCCAUUGCGUUGAAACUUAAGCUUAUUGUUUUCUAUUCCGCCUCAUAAUAUCAUCUUCAUCUUGUUUGCAAGAAUGUUAAACAUUGGCGUUAUUUGCAACUUUGCUUUAGUAAAUUGAUGCACAAAUAAUUUGUUGUGCCUAUCCAACAUUAAAGGACUUCUGAUGUUGGUAGUGUAGACGGCUGAAACUGCCUUAACUUCCAUUCAUGAAGCCAUAACUGUUCUGUGAUAUCUAGAAGGCAUCAAAUCCCAUAAUUAUUCUCCUUUAUUCUCUUUCUCUCUCUCUCUCNNNNNNNNNNNNNNNNNNNNCUUCUUCUCUUCUCUCUCUCUCUCUCUCUCUCUCUCUCUCUCUCUCUCUCUCUCUCUAUCUAUAUAUAUAUAUAUAUUCUGGCAAUUCUCUUUCUGGUGCGCCUUCAGACGAAACCUAAGAUCACCCAUCUUCUUGCCUUGGCUUCUCUUAAUAUUGAAGCAGAAUGUGAGGCUUACUUUGAAUCUUUCUUUAUAGACUUGAGCUAUGGCAAGAUGAUAGUUGUAUUAGGUUAUUUGGCAUUGGAUUCUACUAGUGUUAGCCAAAGGAUGUUUGCUUUGGAAUACUUUCGUGUCAGGUUCAAUGACAUGUAGAAUUUACUAGUGUUGAGUCAAAGUGUGGAAUUCUGUUGGUAUACUCUCAGUGUUUCAGUUCAUUUUUUUUGUAUAACUUAUUUAGCAAUUAUGCAUAAGGAUCUACAAGUUGUAUUCUUGAGGUUUUGCUCUCCUUUGUCACUUUUCUGAAUACUUUUUGAUACUUUCAAUGCUUUUUCUGUAGGGGAGGCGUUCUAGGCCAGCUUUAGAAUCCAAGGGAUCACAGGAAAAGCCUGUUGGAAUUGGCUCAAGCUCUUUGGCAGGUCCGAAAUCCCCAUGGAUGCCAUUUCCAGCAUUAUUUGAAGCUAUUUCAAAAGAAGUUGCUCCGAACGAUAUGAAAUUGGUUAAUGUUCACUAUGACCUAUUCAGGGUAUGUAAUUUUGGAUUCUUAGUAUUUAGAUCUUAGUGAAAAUUUCGUUUAUCAUGAUUCUUUCUCUUGUCGGUCACUUAUUAGAGCAAGAAGAUCAGCCGGGAAGAUUUUAUUCAGAAGUUAAGAGCAAUUGUUGGAGAUUCCUUGCUGAGGUCAACCAUAAUAAGCCUUCAGUGCAAGGUAAUGUCAUCUUUAAUGAUGUUAGAUACAUACUUGAUCAGUUCAUGUGGAGCAAUGUCAUGCGUUGUGUAUGUUUGUGGCUGGCCUGUGGAAAACAAGCUCUGACUUGCUUUCACAGUUAAUUUGGCACCCAUAUUUGGCUGGCUUCCCUUUGGUUGGUAUUUUUCAUGAUUUUUGCUUGUAGUUGUAUUCAAUGCUUGCCCUCAUCCCUUUGCCAGGGAGUCUUCUUCAUUCAGGAAGUUUUUUCUUGGAAUCUGUGAAUUCUUAGUUUCGUUACAUGUUUAUAAUUUAUUUAAAAUGAACAAAUUCAUAGCAACUCAUCUCUGAAAGGGAACAAUAUAGAGGUUGUCUGAUGAGUAAUUUAUAUAAAUGGAAUUUAUAUUUAUUAACUUAUGACUGUUCAUUUUGCACAGCUGCCACCAAUCUCUGCAAUCCCUAUGAAACCGCCAAAGCAGGGAGGAGAAUUUGAUGCCGCUUGAUUUGUUAAAUGGUGGUUGGAUCUCUGACUGUCGUUGGGGUCUGGCUGAUGUUUGGUAAGGUUGCUGCUCUCCUAAUGUGUCGACAUGAUGCAAACCAUAUUACCAUUUGACAGAUGGAUAUGGCUUUGUUGGAUUUUUGUCUAUUUAUGCUUUGUACUGAAACUCUGGUUUGAACUCUGGAGUGUAAAGCUGAAUUGGAUUGUAAACUGGUCACUGAUCAUUGUUAGUUCUAGUUUUCUAGCGAAUUUCGGGAAUUUUGAAAUUUCAAAUCUAGUAAAAUCCAUCUGUUUAAUGUCUGUUGGAAAAUGUCCUUUCCUUCUCAAUGAUUCUUACUGGAUCCCUUGGGAAAUUAUAUUGAAUAAUUAGUUAAAGUCUAGAGUGAUCUGAACUUAAGCCAAUAUACUGCCCUGAGAAUUCCUACAAAAAAGCAGCCUUGUAUGUGAGUGCUUAUUUGGCUGUAUGCCAAUCUGAAUUUGAACAUCAGAUUGUUGCCUGAAUUCAAUAUUUUCCUUAAUUUGACCUUUAUAGAUCGUUCGAAUAUGUUUAGUGGUAUGGGGUUAUUGGUGAAUGUGAUUGGUAGUAGGUACACAUGCUUUAGUGUAACUACUACGAUGCGCAGAUAUUGAUUUGGGGUGCAGUAUGAAUGAAACCAAUUACCUAUACAAAGCCAAAUCAUCCCUUGGUCCUAACUCCUGACCCAGAUUUGCAAAUCUUUUUGAACCAGGGAUGUGAGGAUUUGAACUCCAGCUUCGUUUACAUUUCAUUUUUUUUCGUGGUUAGUUUAUCUGUUUUAUUAGAUGAAAUUAAACAAGACAGUGCAUCUAUUUUUUUUUUUUUUUUUCUAGUAAGAUACGUCAAGUUUAUUGAUACAAAAACAUUAUCUUGAUAUUAGUCUCUAAAAAGGGAGGUGAGAAGAGAAAAACAUGGUUUAUUAUAGUGCAUAAAGCAUUUUUGCAGAAUGUUUCAUGUCAUGAUCAUUCAUUCUUCAUGAUCAUUAUGCUUGAAGUAUAAGUGGUGUAUUCCAUUAUUUCAGUUUCAUGCCCAGACUUCGAAAGUAUCAGAACCAUAUUGUUCAAAUGAUUCAAAUUAAUCGGGUUCUCGUUAAUAAACCAGAAUGAUCAGGUAGCGAGCCAAGCAUCCAAUAAGUCUGAACUCUGAAGCUGCUCGUCGAAAAAAAAAAACACAAGUCUGAAGCUUGACCGGUUCUCUAGAUUUGGCAUUUGAGAACACUGGCCACUGGGACUAAGAAUGAUCAGAUGUCAACCAUCGCACAUAGAAGACAUGCUCCAAAGUGUAAUUCAGUACAGUUUUGGAAAAGAGAAUUAGCACGUAUUGCUUGCAAACAAGGUGACAACUCACAAAUAUGCUUCGAUAAUAUAUGCAGUUGUAGCGAUACAGUUUAUGCCUACAUUUUAGAUGCAAAACUAGGGAACUCAUCAGAAAUAUUUUCAAUAAUGCAGCAGUGUCGUUAUUACUGUAAUGUUGAACUUUUCUCCCCUAACAUGGUCUAACCGUAAUUCGUUGAGGCAUUUGCACGAGCAGGACAUCCAUUUGCAAAACCCAUCAUCUAUGGUAAGUUGGUAACAUUUCUCAACACCAAGUUUUGGAGAUUAUUAUGAGAAACUAAGGUGGGUGCUCUAAGAAUUGUAUCUGUGUUGAUGAAUAGAGACCUCAAAUAUCCAGAAAAGUAGAUACAAGAUGGCAAUUCUAGCAUCACCCCUAUCUGAUAUGUGCAGUCUCAAUUGAAGCUCAAGCACUUCAACAUUACACCUUAAUGCAAUAUGGAUCCAGAGAGACCUGCAUAGAAGUUCCAAUCGAUACGAAAUCGCUGUAUCCUAUUAGCCCCAUGAAGAAUCAUGAACCUAUCUAUAGAAUUCAACAGUUUAAACGGAUCCUGCCUGUUUAUUGCGAUAUAGAAACCUCUGCAUCUUUUGGACACGCUGCCCACUUGAACGACUUGUCGAAAACUGAAGCCUGACAGUUUGUGAUGAGCCAAAUUGUUGGGUAGAUUACUAAAUCUAUCGACUACUCUUCCUACAGGCUCCUGGAGCUUGAGAACUUGCAGUUGCAAAUAACAUAGUCCGUGGUACCUGGUUUCUCUAUGUUCCUGUGGGAGAAAUUAACACCUACUAGUUUCAAAGGACAUGAGAUCAAAACUUGUAUAAAUACAUGGUGCCUAAGACCAUUUAAAUAUCUAAACUCUAUAUGCUCUAUUAUAUUUCACAUUUUAUGAGUCCAUAUUUAAGCACCUCUAAACAGGCACACAACAAGAAAACUGUAAUGAGAGGGAGGAAACUAUCAGUUGAAUCAAAUGCAAAUUGAGGAGCCAAAAAAGGACAAGAAAAUCGUAAAAUUAAUAUAAAUAAAGGGGACAUUAUGAAAAUGAAUGCAAAUUUAAGUACAGCUAACCCUUUACAGGUUUCCUGGUUGGUUAAUAGAACUACUCAAUUCCAAGAUAUCAACAAAAGUUUACACUGAAGCAGCUGCAAUUUAUCUCGACAAGAACCCAUAUUCUGAAAUUGCAAUCUCAAAUGCUUGAAUCCUUUCCCCGGUAGCAAAGCCAUUGCGAUCAUAAGACGAUAUUUCACCUAUGUUGAGAUCACUGCAGACUUGAAUCAACUUCUCGCCAACGCGUUUAGCAGCUUCAGCGGUACUACAAUUGGGAUCCUGACGGAUAGAUUUCUGCAGUGUGCUUCCAUAAAACAAACACUUGUUGUUCUGGUCAUCUACCAGCAUAGCAUACAAUUGUUUGUCUGAACAGAAGACCGAAAGCCUCGGCUUCGUGGGCGUGCCGUUGUACUUCUUCUGCAUUCUUCUGUUUCGAGUUUUUGCACUUUCAGUUCUGGCAGGCUGCCUCGCUCUCAUUACUACCGACUUCAUGGAGAAUUUUCUUAUAGUCUGCAAAACUUGAAAGUUGGAAGUUGCAGAACGACUCCCUAAAAGAGCAGAAGACAUAAACUGGAGAGCAGCAACGUUCACUAGAGCCAUACCUCCACCCUGCAAAUUGGGUAUCAUUGAAAACAAACGAAAAUCUGCGAAAAUUGCAAAGCAAGUUCAUUGAGACAUUUCAUCGAGCACCUUAUGGGUCCAGUUAUGAUGCAUUAAAACAUUCUUUGCAUAAAGCUCUACGAAAGUUGGACGCUUUGUCUGUGACCAGAAUGGUGGCAGCAGCUUACCAACAAGCACACAUCAAUCAUAAGCUUGUAGAUCACUUAUGAAUUCAGUUCAAUAAGCUAACACUUAAACGCAGUUUCACAAAGAAGAAAACUUGGGGACCAGACAAACCAACCCAAGUCCAUAUGCAAUGGAUGUAAACAAAGUGAUCAAAUUUCCAAAUUUGUUAGUUAUCUACUUUAGGGUAAUUGCUAGCAUCUAAUCUCUUUUAGGGUAGAGUGUUUGUCUAAAGAAAAAGCAUCCAUAAGUAAAUUUCAGGUUUUAUAUGCAAAAGGAGUAACACAUAGACAAGGAUAAGAUGCGGAAAGCAAGGUAUUUAAAACAGUAAUACUGAAACAAACGUGCUGCUCGUUUAUAAAGAACUCAUAGGAUCCACAAACAACCUAACAAGUAAAAACAAUCAAAACAUUCUUUUGCUCCUACCCACGUCACAGUCAUUUUAUGAUGCAAAACCACAAAAAGAAAGAAUCAAGCUUGCAGUAACUUCAAAUGUUCCAUUUCUGUUUCUUAGCUAGAUGAAAAAUCAAAGUCUACACAAAUUCCAAAACCUCUCAUUUUGAAACUCGCUGCUGAGUCAAGCUGAACAUGAGCCUACGCUUGAUGAUCCAACUUAAUGGAUUCACGUCUGUUCAAGGAAAACUCAAGGAACCCUGAAAAGCUGCACUUGAGCUGAGCAUGCAGGAAGAUACCAAAUUUGUGAAGCAGACAGAUGACAAUGCCAUAUGAGCUCUUUAAAACAGUUGGCCCAUGAUUCGAGCUCCAACUUUUGUACUGAAGAAAAGUGUCGGGAAUAUAUUUCAAAUCAUCAACUCUCUUAUUUUUCAUUAUAACUUGGCCUGAUUGCGCGGCAGUGUAGCAUCCAAAAGCCAAACUCUAAUUGUGAUGAUUGUAUAAAUCCCACUUGUAUGACAUGGCUAUACUUCUGGCAUAUAGAACUGAUAAUUUGAUGGAAGUCAUUUCUCACUACACCUUCCCAUUCCUCUAAAUGUUGUUCUACACAUGCAUUUGAAUAUGAAUGCCAACAAAAGAUAGCGAAGAUAGAUAACAAGAGUUCAGGGUCAACAUGAUUUGCAGCGUCAGUGCUGACCCUAGAGCUCACAGUAACCAAAAGAUUAGAUUCAGUUCAGAGGAAGUUGCCCACAAUGUCAGAACAUAUGAAGCUUCUUAAACCAAUGACAUUCCUGAUGGGUAUUAGGAACGAUAUAUUAGAGAUUAUCAGGUUCAUAUCAACUUUGAUAUAUCUCUAAUGAUCGAAGACCAACACUUAGUUAUUCAACCAAUAAAUCCAAGAACUCAAACUUAAGUUGCUUAGCCUUAAACAAUCAAUGGAUGAAGGAAUAAAAAUAAAAUAAAAUAAAUUUAAAUAGUCUCACAUGCAUUUCAUCAAACAGGUGGUGAGCAACAAUAUCAGUUUGUCAAAUGCAUUCUUACACAUAAUACUGUCAAGGACUGGGUCAUUGAUGGUUCAGAAUCACAAAACGUAAACAGAAACGAAGAAAAGCAAAAACCCAGAAAGCCCCAGAACUGAAAACACUACCUGGAAUCAAAAAAAGAUUGGCAAAAAAAUUUGGACCAUUUCUCGAUUUAUGCGUGUCAUCCUUGCGCAGGGGCCAUGCUAAUCUUCUCUGUAUCGUUCCAAUUUUAUCGGAUGUCCCCGAAGGGACGAGCUCUACUGUCAUGUCUUCCAAAAUAAACAGCCUUCUGUUUUCGCUUUUCUGCGAUGUGGGAUCAUAACAAAAGCACGUGGGCCUCACGUGUCGUCUCUCUCAAAGCGCAAUUGUAUGGGACUAUUGAAGGGGAUAGACAAGUAACCGUAACUUCACCAUGACCAAUGGCUUCUGAUGGAAAUCAUCCCCUUCUUUUUGUUCUUUCUGUUUGGAUUUAGGAAUCAAGAGCUUUAAAUCCCUGUCACAAAAGUUUGGUCUUAGCUGCUUGGAACUGAUCAUGAGUAAGAUUGUGUUUCGCUUCUGUAGCCUAAAACUUAACCAGUAUUGCUCUACAUAUUCAUAAGUUAGAAACAGAAUCAGACUCUGCUAGUCUUGUGUUCAAAUCUGCAACUCUUGAUCUUCACCUUCUUGGUACCCUCGUCUUGAAGUAUGGAGCAAUUUGAUACUUGCGGGUAUAAGCAUAUUCGUAACUCAUAAGGGAUGUACAUGCAUACAAGUAGCUGAAAUCCUUGCUAAGGAUUCAACACUCUUCGGGUGUCCGCACUUUCACUUCCCCUCCUGCCAAGGUAGUUGAAGCCUUGUUCUUUGGUGUAGCUAGACACAAAUAGCCGAGUAGUUGCCUUUCCUGUUCUUCUCUAUUUGAUGGGUAGGUGACUAGUUGCCUUCAUUCAAAAAAAAAAAAAAAAAAAGUUUCUUUUCUGGAUGAAAAAAUAGUGGCCGAGCGAGCUAUAGGUCUAGGCCGGAGCGAGCUUUAGGUAUGACCUUUCUCAAAAGAAUCUUUCCACAAGAUGAGGUUGACUAUUUUGCAGUCCGACUUGCUUCCAUUAGACCAGUCUUAUUAAACAAGAAUACAAUUUUUUUUUUAUAAUUCUUUUAGAUGAAUGCGAUAACUGAUAUUAAAUUAUAACUAAGAUGUAUAUAGAGUGAUUCAGAAAUAUCAUAACAAGAUACACAAAAUUAUCUAUAACAAGAAAAAACAAUAAAAGAAAACAAAACGCAUGAAUACAUCUAAAAUGAUAUAUAACCAUAGAACUGUACAUGGCCCUUCCAAUGAGGGAUCCCUAUUUUAAGCCAUUUAUAGGGAUAGGGCAUUACACCAACUUCCCGACUAUAAUUUUACAUCUCCACCGUUCAUAUCUUAGGUCUAUAUGAGUAGAUCAUCUCUACAAAAUUUCAUAUGAUUUGGUGAUCGUUAAGACUUUCAAAAGUUCAAUUUAGUUUUAAUGACCUUCAACGGUUUAGUUUGACNNNNNNNNNNNNNNNNNNNNACCUUCAACGGUUUUAGUUUGACAUAAGCUGGACCGUUCAAGAUCAUUAAAACUAAAUCAAACUUUUGAAAGCCUUAACGAUCACCAAAUCAUAUGAAAUUUUGUAGAGGUGAUCUACUCAUAUAGACCUAAGAUAUGAACGGUGGAGAUGUAAAAAUUCAAUUGGGAAGUGGUGUAAUGCCCUAUCCCUAGAAAGUGGCCAAAAAUAGGGAUCCCUCAAUGGAAGGGGGCUGUAGAACUGUAUGCCUAUUGAUGCAUUAUAUAUGUCAUGAAAGCUAGUGUAAGUGUAGGAAUAACUGUAACCAUGAUCGUUACCAGAACCAAGGAGAUACAACCAUUACGACAUUUUAUAACUACUUAGUAUUUAUAAUAAAUUUUCACAACACGUAACAUUUCACUGUCUUAUUAUAAAUAAUUCACAUGACAAACACCUGUUUUAUGUUUUAUUGACACCACUUUUAUUCCACAAUGACAUUUCUAUUUAUACUUUCACUGGUUUGUCCCCACGUCUCAAAAAUAUAAUUAAAUUUUUAUUUUGCAAUUUUUGAACACCGCCUUGUGCAACACACACCUUGGGCAACACACCAAUGCGAACCUUCCAUAAUACACUUUCACCCGCACGAUCAACUCAACGGCUCCGAUUCAGCGGUUUAUACAACUAAAAGAGAGACCCACCGCCUCCUACAAUACCCUAUGAGAAGAAUAUUGGAGAAAUCAGAAAUUGCUAAGUUGGUUCGGUAGGCUUAACUUUAGCCUCACGUUCUCAAAAGUCGAAACGUUUCUUCGCUGGCUUCAAAUCAAACUAGGUUUUCUGAGCCUCCUUUGAUUCUCAGUCUUUAGGGCUUUUGUUCAAUUUCACUGGAUCACUUCAGGUCCUUCCUUCUUUUUUCUGUAUGGACUUUUUUUUGUUGUUGAUUUUUUAGAUCCAUCUAAGGGCUCUGAUCUUGGUACUAGUUUGAUUAUUCUUUGACGUUUUGAAUUUGGAAUCACUGAUUGUUGUGUUGCAAUUAAUUAUCGUUCUGAAAUUGUAUUGCUGCAAUCAGAUUCGAAUUCAUUUUUUGUUUUUUUUGUUUUUGCUUUUAGUAUUUGACUUUGGUGAUUUUAAGGAUUCAGAAUGUAAAUCCAGUUCUAACAACUUGAUUUUAGACAAGUUAAUUAUUAUGUGAAUAAUUAUGGUUUCUGAUUUAACUGUUGAAUUUCAUGAUAGACUCGUAUAAUUGAAACUGAGAAAUUACUCUUCAUUUUAAUGGUUUUGGCUUCAGUCUGUAUGAUUUGUUAGAAUUCGUACUCAUGGUGCUGUCUUCUUUGCAGGUUUUAUAUUCAGAUUCACCGUAUUUGGGUAGUCAAACUCAUCUACAGAACUUUCAAGCUCACCUCACAAAAUUACUGAAUACAACUAGUGGUAGAAUAGAUGUGUGAGUGAUUUUAUAUUAUUUUAUAUUUUUUUAAAUUUACUUCAUAUCAGUGUAUUACAUAGAGAUUUUUCACUGAGGGUGUGUUUUGAUUGUUUCAGGAUCGAUACAGUUAAUUGGUAGGAGAAACAAAUAGAGGUAGUUUCUCUUGAUUGGUGUUUUUCUUCCUGCAUUUGAUAAUUUUUAAUUCUUAUCUUCUUUAGUGGGUUCUGUUUCAGUCAUUGCAAGAAGAAUUACCAUUUUCUGGUUACUCGCACAUAUACGUUGUUCAGAAACAUGACUUGUACGAUAUGUCCUGCUACUACAGAAUACGGUACGGUUUUGUGUGUUUCUUUUUCCUAUGGUUCUGUUGUUUAUAUUUGCUUCUUUCACUUAAGAAGGGGAAGUACUUCUAUAUUCUUGUGCCUGAUUUUGAACCGACACUCGAAGUUAGAAUAUUGAACUUCUGUGUUGUAAAAGAUGUUAUACAUAUAAAACGUGCAACUUAUCAUUAUAAAUUGCUUGGGUGUUAAAGGCAUCAUGUUUCACCUGUUUCUUUUAAUCAUUGGUGGUGGUCGGAAAUACCCAGCUUUUCUUUGCCUUUUUUAUGUAGUGAGGUCAAUAAAAGUUAUUAUCUUUGACCUGUAUUAUGGAACUGGACGUGUAGCAUGAAAAGAUAUAUGAUUAAGCUCACCAGUAAAUACUCUUACAUGCAGAUUUUACCUUCUGGUAAAUGAAUUAGAAUUAGUAUAAUGAGAGAUGCUAUAUCUUAAAUGCAGGCUAUGCAAAUUUGUCUCCAUGGAACAAUUUCUCCAUUCCCGGAACUGAAGAAAAGUAUUGUACAUUGUUUUUAGAGCAUUUAGGAUUUAGUCUGUAAAUAGGGCUUUUCCGUAUAGAUAAAUGGAAACAGACAGGGUUAAGGUCUUGGAUGAUGACCACCACAAAAUAGUUGUCAAUUUGAAGGGGAAAAGGGCAACAAAUAGUGCAGCACUUAUAGUCGGAGCUAGUCGCCCAGUGUUGUCUCGACAGUCCAGCUCACCUUCAUCGUUUAACAAACUUGGCAAGCGUAAGCGAUCUAAUGAAUGCAGAAACAAGUGUAGAUCAAACUUCAGAAGCUCCGUGCUAAAAAACUAUACAAAUUUCAGCAAAAGUGGGCUUCCUCAGCGAUUUCUAUACUAUGAAUCUGGGGACUGGAUAGACUUUCCUCAUGGAGUUGUUGACUUGGUCAGGGAGCACUUUCGACUGAAAAAUGCAGUUAUAAAUGUGGAUUGGAACGGCUGCCAUUUGUUGCUAGAUAUUCUGUUUAUGAUACAGGUGGAAAUUAAAACAGGUCUAGUAAAGCAAAUUGCUUGGAUUGAUGAAGCAGGUUCUUGUUUCUUUCCAGAAAUCCGUUCUUGUCAUUUAGAGAAAGAAAAGUACUGCCAUUCUAAGUUACAGAGUGAUUCACCUUAUGUGCUGAACGAAGCAAAUGGGACCCAGGAGAUCACUUUGAAGCUUGAGAUUGGACUAACUGGAUUGAAUAGCUCCAAUACAGAGGAAUGUGUUGAGGAGUCGAACAGUCCUGCUAAGAGGACUAAAAUUGAACAAAAC
rnacentral:lncRNA from 1 species